rnacentral:rRNA from 1 species
GGACCUACGGGGGGCAGCAGUGGGGAAUAUUGCACAAUGGGGGAAACCCUGAUGCAGCAACGCCGCGUGAGUGAAGAAGUAUUUCGGUAUGUAAAGCUCUAUCAGCAGGGAAGAAAGAAAUGACGGUACCUGAGUAAGAAGCCCCGGCUAACUACGUGCCAGCAGCCGCGGUAAUACGUAGGGGGCAAGCGUUAUCCGGAAUUACUGGGUGUAAAGGGAGCGUAGCCGGUAAUGCAAGUCUGGAGUGAAAGGCGGGGGCCCAACCCCCGGCCUGCUCUGGAAACUGUGUAACUGGAGUG